GAAGUCCAGCUCUGUGACACUGAAGGUCACCAGUUCCCUUGCUGGCUUCGACUGAAUGAUUCCCCUGUGAAGUCCCUUGUUUACUGUAUUUGUAAUUAGCCACCAAGAACUUGAGUAACCGGUUUCCGAGGAGAACAUAUAUCCUGAAUCAGUUCCUGGACAUUUGUUUGAGGUCUUGUAAGGGAAACUGAAGGGAAUUGUGUAUUGAACAGGAUGGCUUAGACCUGCUCAACUUCUGAGAAUUGAGGCAAAGUGGGCAAUCCAGAUGUAUCACUUGACUUUCUGACUACUGGAAGAAUUUCCCUUCAUUAUUGCACACCAGGGGUAUCCCACAGAUGAUGAAGAGCCAAGGAGCCUAUCAGGAAGGCAAUGAAGAGACUGGCAAAGGCAAGAAGGUACUAUCACUGCUAGAGAGAUCCAGGGGGAAGGCUGUGUGACCAGAGUCAAGGAACAGGAACAUCUGGAGAAAGCCUGCCCAAACAAGAGCUGAAGCCGUGUGGAGGAGACGCAGCAGCUACCACUGCAAAUGCUACUCGAGGCAGAGAGACGGAGGAGGUGGAAUGUGGCCUGUUUCCUCCUUGGGCCCUUCGGUUUUCCACAGUGUCUUUCACUGGCCUUCUUGAAAUCCAGGAAACAAGAGAGCUGGAAAAUAUUGGUCUCUGAGUUAUAGCACAGGGCAGAGAAGGGCAGAAAAUGCACCUGAAAGAAAACAGGCAAGUGACCUAUAUACCUUCUUUUAGGCCUUCUCCCUCUUGUGUACCGCAUAGCAUAUUAAGUGGAAAAUUAUUAUAACACUCAUUGUAUCACGUGGCUGUGUUUUGCUUACAUAUCCAUCUCAACUUUUAUCUCUUGCUUUCCCCAGCACCAGCACUGGCACAUUGCAAUUUUUGAACAAAAGAUUUUUGAACUAAUGAAUAAAUAGGUGAUUAGAUUUAAUUCAAUUUCAAUGAAUGUUUAUUAGGUCAUUAUUAGGAUAUUGGGUCAGAAUGUUCUAGUUGAUUCUACAUACAUCACCUCCUUCAUAGAGUAUCCUGAAAGGCCCACAAUUCACUCGCACAUUCUUUCUCCUAACUGUCAAAUUUUACCAAUUAAAAAGUAUUAUCAGGCUGGAUAUGGUGGCUCAUGCCUGUAAUCACAGCACUUUGAGAGGUUGAGGCAAGAGGAUCGCUUGAGCCCAGGAGUUCAAGACCAGCCUGGGCAACAUAGAGAGAUGGCAAUCUCUACAAAAACUAAAAAAAAAAAAAAAAAAAAAAAGCAGGAUGUGGUAGUGCAUGCCUGUGGUUCCCAGCUACUAGGCAGGCUGAGGUGGGAGGAUCUCUUGAGCCUGUGAGGUUUAGGCUGUAGUGAGCCAAGAUUGUGCCACUGCACUCCAGCCUGGGCAAAAAAGUGAGACACUGUCUCCAAAAAAAAGAAAAAGAAAAAAAAAAUCACUAUUUAGUGAUGUGUGUGAUGGCUCCCUUGACACAGAUAGUUCAUUUCCCAUAGUGAUAAAUAUUAAAAUCCAGCAUAUAUUAAACCUGCCAUGUUACAGGUCAGGUUCUGCCCUCCAUGCUGUGUGGUCACCUGGGUGAAAACCAUGUACCUGUCCUCAGGAGCUUAUACUCUGCUGGGAGUGAGCAGCUAGGGAUCGUUUUGAUGUCUCUGCUGAUUUAGGGGUACGCACAGGAUGCUGUGGAGUCAAACUAGGGCACUUCACAUAGGCUGGGAAUUCAGGAAGCUUUCUGGAAUUCCAGAAAAAAAGACUGAGUCAGGUAAAGAAAGAUGGGGCCUGGCAGGGUGGCUCACGCCUAUAAUCCCAACACUUUGGGAGGCUGAGGCGGGCAGAUCACCUGAGGUCAGGAGUUCAAGAUCAGCCUGGCCAACAUAGUGUGAAACCCCGUCUCUACUAAAAAUACAAAAAAAAUUAGCCGGGUAUGGUGGCGCGUGCCUGUAAUCCCAGCUACUUUGGAGGCUGAGGCAGGAGAAUCGCUUGAACCCAGGGGAUGGAGGUUGCAGUGAGCCAAGAUCAUGCCACUUCACUCUAGCCUGGGCAAAAGAGCAAAACUCCAUCAAAAAAAGAAAGAAAGAAAGAGAGAGAGAAAAAAAAAGAAAAGGGAAGAACAUGCACACAGACAGAGUUGCGAUAGAAGUUUCUGUCCAUUAUUGAGUUUGACCAGAGAUGAAAUGUAGACCCUGAGGCUGAGCCUUAUCACAAAAAGUCAUGAAAAGUCAACCUUUACUCUGAAGGCAAUGGUGAGGCACUGAUGAGCAGUAAGGAGAGACUCAUAGAUGAGAUGUGCAUGGCAGGUGGCUCACUCAGUCUGCAGCAUGGAAGAGAGAGAUUUAAAGUAAAACUGAGAUAGUCAAAGGUUAUUGCAGAUCUUACAGAAAUGGGCAGACCAAUACCCAAAACCCAUGUCUACAAACAUGUUCACUUCAGCAUUGUUUCCAAUAACACAAACCAGAAAACUAACUAAAUGUUCAUCUUUUAACAUUUUUAUUUUCUUUUCUCUAUUUUUACAAGCCCA
rnacentral:lncRNA from 1 species